GGUUUUUAUACGACCGCAAAAAUUGAAAAUUUUUUGGUCGUAUAUUGGUAUGACGUUGGCGUCGUCGUCGUCGUCGUCGUCGUCGUCUGGCGUCGUCCGAAGACACAUUGGUUUUCGCACUCUAACUUUAGUUUAAGUGAAUGGAUCUCCAUGAAAUUUUACCAUAAGGUUCAAUACCACGAAAGGAAGGUUGGGAUUGAUUUUGGGGGUUAUGGUACCAACAGUUAAGGAAUUAAGGGCCAAAAAGGGGCCAAAAAUAAUCAUUUUUGUAACUUCCAGACAAUAACUUGUGUGUAAGUAUAUGGAUCUCUCUGACAUUGUACCACAAGGUUCCAUAUCACAAAGGGAAGGCUGUAAUUGAUUUUGGGGGUAAUUGCCUCAAAAUUUUAGGAAUUAGGGGCCAAAAAAGGGGCAAAAAACAAGCUUUUUUCUAGUUUCAUGACAAUAACUUGUGUGUAAGUGUUUGGAUAUUUCUGAAAUUGUACUACAAGGUUCCAUAUCACAAAGGGAAAGCUGGAAUUGAGUUUGGGGGUAAUUGCCCGAAACGUUUAGGAAUUGGGGGCCAAAAAGGGGCCAAAAAUAAGCAUUUUUCUAGUUUCCAGACAAUAACUUGUGUUCAAGUGUAUGGAUCUCUCUGAAAUUGUACUGCAAGGUACCAUACCACAAAGGGAAGGCUGGGAUUGAGUUUGGGGGUGAUGAAUCAUAAGGGGGUUCAAAAAAUUUGGGGGGGGAA